rnacentral:rRNA from 1 species
CCCUUAGAUGUCCGGGGCCGCACGCGCGCUACACUGAAGGAAUCAGCGUGGCUUUCUCCCUGACCCGAAAGGGUUGGGAAACCCGUUGAAUCUCCUUCGUGAUAGGGAUUGGGGCUUGAAAUUGUUCCCCAUGAACGAGGAAUUCCCAGUAAGCGCGAGUCAUAAGCUCGCGUUGAUUACGUCCCUGCCCUUUGUACACACCGCCCGUCGCUACUACCGAUUGAACGGUUUAGUGAGGGCCUCGGAUUGGUCUCGGCCCGCUCUUUACCGGGCGGCGCCGUUGGUCGAGAAGACGCUCGAACUUAAUCGUUUAGAGGAAGUAAAAGUCGUAACA